UUGUUGCUUCUACAUACAUUGCUCUUGCCAAUGAACAGAGCUGAUUCUCCACUGCCAUCUAAGAACUCCAGUGAAGAGGUACCUCUCCCAGUAUGAAGUAUCUAAUAAGAUUAGCACAACACACGCGGGUUCUACAUGAAGAAAUGCUAGCACUGGACAGACUUGAGCACGCUUAUUAUGUAGCGGCUAUUCCUGUUAGGAAACAAAUUGAUGCUAUCAAGAACCAAAGGGGUGCGGUGAAGGUCUUAAAAUGCAAAUCGCUUUGGUCAAAGAGUAUGGACGAUGUAAUAACCCCUGAUUACUUACUAUUAGUGUUUCUUCAAUCUAAGUCAAGUCAUGGAAUUACCAAUGAUCCAUGUUGUCUUAUUGCAGAUUGUGGAGAAACUUGUGGAGAUUGUAGACUUCAUGCGCCUUCAAAUCAACGAAGCUUUCUGGAAGAGCCAUGCAGAUGCAAAGCAAUCAUCUGGAGAACUUCACAUAGCUAUCAACCUCAUGAAAACGUUAGGGGCUACUGGACUUGCGUUGCAUUAUGCUGAUGUCAUUCUGCAGCUAAAAGCUUUGGUAUGCCUCCGCCAACAUCAAGUUAUAUAGCAGUUUUCUUUUUAAGGAAACCACAUGCUUAUCUGUACCACUAUAUAGUGUGUGAAUAAGUUUGAAUAUGGAUCGUUGGAUGAACUUAAUCCGACGGUCAA